CUUGAUGAAGGAGAGAGAAGGAAGAAGAGAGAUUUCCUGUGGUCCAUGGGAAAGAGCUAAAGAGACAGAGAGACAGGAGGAGAGGGCUGGGGUCUGUGUUUGCAUAUGUAAAGAAGAAAUGGCUUGAGGGCCAUCACCUCAGUGAUGAGGAAACAGGUUCACAGAAGUCAGGACCUUUGCUGAAGCCACAUGCACAGAGUAAUUAUGAAGGACUUUCCUCAUCCAGUGGACACAACUCAUUCAGAAGGAAGCAGUCUGUUCAACAAAAUUCUCCAGGGGAAGUUGCUCUCCCAGGAAAACCAAACCAACACACAGACACAAGGUGUGAAGUUACUCUCCGUGCCUUCUGCUCUAUACUUCCUUGCCCGGUUCCGGGUCGUGAUGUUCCCUCCCUGGACAGGGAAUGAAAAUGUGCAGAGUCAAUUCUCAAUUCUGUCACUUUUUAGCUGUGCGAUGGCUAAUACUUGAGUUGUUUAUACCUCCACUUCCCAAUCCGCAAGAUGAGGCGAUUGUCCCAGAUUUUAUGGAAAAUCCCUCCCAGUGCCAUCGAGUGGAUUCCGACUCCUAGAGACCCCGUGUAUAGCAGAACGGAACCCUGCCUGUCUUUUCGCUCCAUCUCCUCCCCUUCUGGCACCAUCUGAGACAAUGCCCUGCUGCUGUUCAUAGGGGUUUCAUGGACAAUCUUUUUGGAAGUGGGUUGGGUGGCCAGCCGGAAACUUAUCCACCAUUGGUGACACUGCUGUUAUUUGAAAGACUGGUGGCGUAGCUUUAGCAUCAUGGACGUCUGCAGCCACCACAGUAUGACAACUGACAGAUGGAUAGCGUGGUUCCCUGACCAGGAAGUGAAACCAGGCCAUGGUGGUGAAAGCACUAAAUCUUAGCCACUAGACCAUCA
rnacentral:lncRNA from 1 species